CCUUAAGGAAAUAAAAGAUAAAAAUUCCAAAAUACAGGGGAAAUAUUUCCUGUAAUACUUCUUAAUAUUGCGCCCACACUGGCCAUUUCCUCACUUCUUCUGGCAGAAACCAGACAUUUAUCUCAACAUGGAUUAAUUUUUACGAUCGAAUCUCAGACAAAUCCCAAUGUAUACGUCAUGGACCAGUUACCCAUAGCGGCAGACGACAGCUCCACCUCAGCCUGUGGUCCUUGCCAGGCUAGAUUUGGCAAGACAACACGAUGUACGAAGAGGAACAAAUAAAAAUGAAAGAAUUCCAAAUUAUCAUAUAUUGAAUUCAAAUAAGUAAUGUAUUUUAAGGGUGUGAGUGAGAUGUCCUUAUAUUUCAGUGCAAAUCAUGAAAUUUUGUAUAUUUCAGUAAGAAUCACGUGCUUGUUAACAUGAAGUGGAUUAUUUAUAUAAAAUGAUAGAAUUCAGAAUAUUGGAUAUUUAAACAAAACCUAAUGUCGUCUCUUUCAAGUUCACCAAAAGUGUUCUUUAUCAACAUUUAAUAGAUAACUUUUGUUUACAAUCAUAUCUCAAAAGACCAAUUAACUUAAAGGGAGAAAAUUAUCAUUAAAAUCAGAACGUCUACACAUUCUUUGAAUAUUGAAAAAGGCAGGAAUAACAAUGUUGUAAGGACUGCGAGGCUUUAUAAAUUAUGUUAUUAUAAGGAUAUAGAAGAUGAGUUCCAUUUUAUCCUGAAAUGUCCAUUUUACAUCGAUUUGAGAGAGAAAUAUAUUAAUGGUUUCUAUUACACAAAACCAAGUGUCUUUAAAUUAGUUGAGCUCUUUAGUGUAGACAAUAUUAAAGAACUUAAUAAUAACUUGGGGAAAUUCUUAGUACAAGCUGUGAAAAUACGAAGUUUAGCGUUGUAAGUCAUUAAUGUAAUUAUAGUAUUUUUCUAAUAACAUGUGUAUCUCAUAAUGUGAUUAUAUUUUAUUUGUAAUUUCUUCUCCUGUCCACUCACCCGCUGUUACCUUAUACAAUUAGAUAUAUUGUGUGUAUAUAUAUAUAUGUACUAAAUGUAUUGCAAUGAGUUGUAUAACUCAAGGGCAAUAAAGAAAAAAAUACUCCUUUAAAAUAUAUGACUUAUCAUUUAGUAAAUUGUUAUUUGGAUGCAUAAUGUUAAAACGUUAUGUUUUUCUAGUCAAACAUUUCUACUGAACCGGUGUUUAUUGGCAAAAUAUUGUCCCUAGUCUUUUUAAUGUGACUGUACAUAUGUAUUUUUUAUUUAUCAUUUAUUUGAUUUGUAUUUAAACAAAUGACCAUUCUUAUUCCUUCAGGGUGGUUGUAACUGUUAUGAUUUCAUAGAACUAACAAACCAAAUUAAUGUUGCAUUUAAUUUUAACCCAAUCUGAUUGUUUUUCUUCCAUUAAAUGAUAUACACAAAUUUG